rnacentral:rRNA from 1 species
UGACCUCUGACCUCAAAUCAGGUAGGACUACCCGCUGAACUUAAGCAUAUCAAUAANCGGAGGAAAAGGAAAACCAACCAA